AUGAUUGGUUCGUUCUUCCAUCGUUCUUCAGCUUCGUUCGCUCUUGAAAUCCGUUCGUUCUUCAGCUUCAAAGAUCUUCAUCUUCCACCGUUCUUCAGCUUCGUUCGUUCUUCAGUUACCAUAUCUCAGUAUUCUGAAGCAAGUAGUCGAACCAAGUCUCCCUCCGUCUAUGGAGAAUGUAGAUGUGGUCUCGAUGCACCGUUGAUGACGUCAUGGACUGAUGCUAACCCAGGACGUCGUUUUUACGGACUCAGGGGUAUAAGUGAUGCAAUCAUUUUGUUUGGUAUGAUGAAGAGAUGUGCCUUAGAGCAAAAGACAUGA